CGGAAAGGCGUUUGGGAUGCCAACGAUGAGGCUGCUGUCAUUUGUGGUGUUGGCUCUAUUUGCUGUCACUCAAGCAGAGGAAGGAGCCAGGCUUUUGGCUUCCAAAUCACUGCUGAACAGAUACGCCGUGGAGGGACGAGACCUGACCUUGCAGUACAACAUCUACAAUGUUGGCUCAAGUGCUGCAUUAGACGUGGAACUAUCUGAUGAUUCCUUCCCUCCAGAAGACUUUGGCAUUGUGUCUGGAAUGCUCAAUGUCAAAUGGGACCGGAUUGCCCCGUAUCCUCUUGGCACUUGGUGAUGAAGGGUCGGGGGGCAGGGAGAGCCUUGCCUGCAAAGCAGCAGGGGUACUUCAAAUAGGCUGGAUAUGUGUGGCUGUCCUCCUGUCAUCUCUCUGGAUAAGAUGGAGCAAGAGAGUGCUAGCAAUGUCUCCCACACUGUGGUCCUGCGCCCUCUCAAGGCUGGUUAUUUCAACUUCACCUCGGCAACAAUUACUUACCUGGCCCAGGAGGAUGGGCCCGUUGUGAUUGGCUCUACCAGUGCACCUGGACAGGGAGGAAUCCUGGCUCAGCGGGAGUUUGACAGGCGAUUCUCCCCUCAUUUUCUGGACUGGGCAGCCUUUGGGGUCAUGACCCUUCCCUCCAUCGGCAUCCCCCUGCUAUUGUGGUACUCCAGCAAGAGGAAAUAUGACACUCCCAAAACGAAGAAGAACUGAUUGGGGCUUCCACAGCCCUCCUCUCCCAAGAAAUCCAGGCUCCUCUCCCAAGAAAUCCAGGUGCUUUCCAGACUCCAAAGAGUAUCUUAAAUGCAAUCUCUUCUCUCUUAGCCCUUGGCCACUUUCUCCUGGAUCCUGCCCUGCUCUCAGCCAUAGUGAAGGACCAGGCCUAGGAGUCUGCGAGAGCCUCCUUGGUUCCAUCGUGAAGCCAUAAACAGGAAUGCCUUUGGCAAUAGCCUUGAGCCUAGAGGGCCCUCUGAUGCCCCACUGAGGUGCUGUUGGUUUAUUGCUGGCAAUGUGAAUUCUCUCAGGGGUCUAGGAGGGGCAUUUUGGAGACUGCCUGACACCACCCCUAUCCCCUGCCUCCCCCUCUCAGAAGAGGGUGGAAGAUGAAAUGAAAGCUAUGGGACUCUUGGAGGAUACCCAGUGUCUA
rnacentral:sRNA from 1 species